rnacentral:rRNA from 1 species
CUACGGGAGGCAGCAGUAGGGAAUCUUCCGCAAUGGACGAAAGUCUGACGGAGCAACGCCGCGUGAGUGAUGAAGGCUUUCGGGUCGUAAAACUCUGUUGUUAGGGAAGAACAAGUGCUAGUUGAAUAAGCUGGCACCUUGACGGUACCUAACCAGAAAGCCACGGCUAACUACGUGCCAGCAGCCGCGGUAAUACGUAGGUGGCAAGCGUUAUCCGGAAUUAUUGGGCGUAAAGCGCGCGCAGGUGGUUUCUUAAGUCUGAUGUGAAAGCCCACGGCUCAACCGUGGAGGGUCAUUGGAAACUGGGAGACUUGAGUGCAGAAGAGGAAAGUGGAAUUCCAUGUGUAGCGGUGAAAUGCGUAGAGAUAUGGAGGAACACCAGUGGCGAAGGCGACUUUCUGGUCUGUAACUGACACUGAGGCGCGAAAGCGUGGGGAGCAAACAGGAUUAGGUACCCUGGUAGUCCGCGCCGUAAACGAUGAGUGCUAAGUGUUAGAGGGUUUCCGCCCUUUAGUGCUGAAGUUAACGCAUUAAGCACUCCGCCUGGGGAGUACGGCCGCAAGGCUGAAACUCAAAGGAAUUGACG